rnacentral:lncRNA from 1 species
UGAUACAUUAAGAUCUAAAUUAGAUAGUUUUCCCAAGCUAGCGUUAGAAGAAGAUUCUGUGCCACUUGUUGUUUGCACAUCCUUGGGAGGUCUUGCUGAAGGAAAAAUAGAAAACCCGUGAUCUAGUUUCUCUCUCUUGACAAGGGAACUUGAGUUGAUUUUGGCAUUCUCACGAGAUGCUAACUGUAAAUCUAGAGUUAGAAACUUGUGACCCUGUGAUCUGGCAGCGGGAGCAACACUCCCUAGUCCACCACUCUCUCCACGAGAGGAGGUCUCAUUUGAGCCAUUAAGUAGCACGCCUUUCUUCUCGUUCGUUGCUGGAGUAAAACAUCUACUGGGAAUAUCUGAUUUAGAUCUAUUCAAGACAGGCUCAUUGCU